UAGACAGGCGCGUCCUCUCAGGCCUGCAGACGUCGGGGGCUUCCAAGUUCACCAAGUGCGGCCGGUUCCCUCAGUUGCCUGCUCAACGCGGGGGAGGGAGAAGAUGGGGGAGGGGCUGAUUUAUAAGAACUUGGAACCACAAAACCCUUUCACAGAAAGUAUCCUUUUCAAUCUGUUCAGAAGAGAUGGGCCAGCAGGCUUCAGCUCCGUUCCCAGGAGACUAGCUUUUAUUGAGCAGAUAAGAAUAAUCUCAUUAGUAUGUCAUUUCUUAGAUUGUAAAGUGGAAGGUGGAAUCCUUAUCUUACAUUUACUUAACAGCCUUCCCACAAUCUUAGUCUUAUUCUAGUGACCUCGGCUGCCCAGAAUACCCUCUUCCCAGGGUGUGAGGACACGCUUCACGCUGAGUUAUCUCAACUUUUGAAAUUGCGACCUUCCAAAUAAAUCAACCUUUACCCUGCAGACAGGGUAAAGGCACUGGCCCCUGGGAAGAAAGGUACCAAGCCGCUGCCUCCCACUCUGGCUGAAAAGAUUUCACGGGUUUUAAAGAUUUUCUCACUGUCAGAGAAUGAGCUUUCUUUGUCCUUGUGUUAGAGACGAAGGCACUCUGCUAUUUCCACGCCUGUGUCUAAACGCUACCAAAAUCGCGACGGAGAGUGGUCUGCUUUUGGAUUUCAGCGCACUGGGAGACGGGGGAGCUCUGGGCUCGGGCCGAUCCAGGUUCGAAUCCCAGCUCAAGCACUUACCAAAUGAACUACGUUGGAGAGACUUUUUGGGAGAAUGUAAAAUGUGCACCCAGGGCCUGGUACAUCGUAAGCCUUCAGCAAGUGAUACCUCUUUCUUCCCCUUUAAACACCUCAAAUCUCGACUUAAAUUAGGCGAACUUGGUCCAGUGUUCUCUCGCUCAAAUCCACAGGCGCUUACUGACAGUUUGAGAAAAGUACGUGCUCACCUGGCGGGCAGAGGGCUGUGUGCAUCGCCCGGGAUUUCAUCCUUCUCCCCGACACACACCAUGCACACCCUUAAUUUCUAAAGCACCCUCUCCCGUCCCAUCAGGCGCUGUCAUGACAUGGGGCUGCCCUCGGGCUCCUCAUAGAUGCUGAGGAAGCAGCUGGAUCAUUCCCUGGCUGUGUAGUGGGAAUGGGGGGGAGGGGAUGCUCGGUGAAUGAAUUUUCUGUCACCCUCCAGAGAUCGACGGCAGAAUGUGGGGCUUCUGCUGGGCGAACGGCGGGGGUGCCAGGGGACCCAGCUCUGGAAGCUGUUGUAUAUCCCGGGCGGCCGGGAGCGGAGCUGGCUGUGCUCCCUCUGAAGUUGCUUCAGCUUUUCGGUGACCCUUCCCAGUCUCUGGGUGUCGGGCGGUGACCUCGGGGUAAAGAAGUUCCGGGGUGCCCAUCUCCAGGGCUUUAGGAAACAAAACACCCCAGGGGCCCGACUCCAAGUCUCAGAAGAAAAACGGCCCAUUCCAGGUGCUGAAUCUGAAACGAAGCUGCAGGAAACCCACAUGGCUGGCCCAAGGCCUGCUUGCUGAACAGCUUCUACUCAGUCAAAGGAGGCUGGAACCUCCAACGGGGGCCGAGGGGGCUUGCCCGGGCCAGAGAUGAGGUCAGUGGGGCUGAACUCAGUGCCCCUUUCCCUUGUGUGGGCCAGGGGCUCCCCGUAGAAAAGGUGGAAGCCAGAAGGCCACCCAGGAAGAAGAGCCGGCACAUACACACCUCCCACGGGAGACGACUGGCGGGGAUCCGAGGGUUUAAACCCCAUUCGCCAUUAGCAUAUCUUAUUAUCAAACCAGAAAUCAACAUUAGAAUAAGAAAGAUGUCUGUUCCAGCAGCCUGGGGGAAGACACUCCCAGGCUGCCAGUGAGGAGAAAGCAAGUUCACAAACAACAGCAAAGGAAAAAUGCAGCCCGACUCCCCCUUCCUCGGACACCGAGAUAAGGAAGAGCAGUUACCAGACGAUGAGCCCAGCCACGACACUUAUCAGCGGCCUCUCUGUCCAGCCCACUUUCUGGGUCCUUCCGGAAACCGCAUGUCUGGGCUGCGAUCAGCUACUAGACCUUGGGCCGGAUCAAAGCAUUGGUGGGCGCGACAAUUAAAAAAUGAAACUAUCAAAUGACAACGUGGAGCCCGUGAGACGGUUUACAGAGAGGAGAUCCGUCACCAUGCCUUCCGUGGGAGGGGAACAAAAGGUGUGAGCCACCUCUCCCCACCCGGCUUUUCUCCCUGAAAUUAACUACUGGUGAGAGUCCCUACUGAUUGUUUUCAAAAGGACGCUGAAGUGUAGUGUCCGAGUUCCGGACCAAUAGGAAAAAAAUGAGAGCUCACAGAAGCCGCUGAGGCCGGGCAUGAGCUGGUCAUGUUCAUUUAGUAAACAAGUGAGCCAUGAAACAAACCCCAGGAGCCUGGUUUGUGCACGUUCCGAGUCCCUCUCCCAGAACUAACUGUCCCCUCUGGGAUCAGCGUGGCCUCUGCAGUCCUCAGAUGGGCAAGCGUCAGGCCUGAGCAACUUGGGGUCCGUCUUAACAGCCAUGUCCCCUUAACCUCUCCCCAUCCGCCCACGCGCAGAAGGCAGAGAAGGAAGCAGAUCCGGGCAUGCUGUGGCCUUCGUAGGCCCCAUUUUCUGAGGGACUUGGCUUGGAGAGACUGCCCUCAGCAGGGGACCAGGAUAAUUCCCCAGGCUCCGCCGGACAGACACCCCUCGGAUGGCCAGGCCCCCAGGAGGCAUGGAGAGAACCCGCCCACUGAAGAGGCGCCGGCGGCUCGCUGAGAAGGGAACCCGGCCCGUAAACCCAACUCUGAGGCUCAGAGAAGGUCGCGUUUUGAAAAGCAGGGAGGAAGAGGGAGAAUUGCUUAAAGGGAUUACUUUUGAUUUAAGCUAGAGAGAGAAGGUCCAGUUGUACUUUACUGACUAAAUCAUCAAGACUGUGACUCCCUCCCCCUCCCUCAAAAAAUAAAAAAGAUUAAUAAGUAUUAAAGAUCGAUAGGAA